rnacentral:lncRNA from 1 species
GCCGUGGGAGAAGGACUUAGAGAAAACCUUGAAGGCAGGCGGAGAGCAAAAGACCGUGAUGCCUCACAGCCAAGGCCACACGGCUCCAGAACCAAGACAAGGGCGAGCCCCAGCCGGGACUGAUACGGGAGGCCGAAGGGAACGGUACGACCACAAAGAAGCCCGGGAACAAAGAGUUGUCCAGAAACAGACGAAACUGAAGUGGAAGCGAGGGCGACAGAGCCAUCACCAUAAAGUAAACCAGGCCAAGGAGCAGAGCCUGAGAAAUGACAACUGAGAGAGCGAUGAAAACACGAUUCUGACCGCACAUGGGGGGAGGGCGUAAAUCCAAGGGGGGAGACCCAAUAGGAUUACUAAAGUGUGACAGCCCUCUCCACACGGCGACUUAGAUCAAAAGGGAGAAAUGUGGGAACCUGAGGCUGCACCAGGACUGGCAGGGAACAAAGGAAGGAUUCUGGAGCAAAACUGGUUAGGGCAACGCGGGGGAAGCCAGUAGCCAAUUAUUCUCAGCCCUAGAGAAAGAAGAAAGGAAACGUAAAUACGAGCAGGGAUGUAUUGAGGACCAUUUUGUCCCCAGCGUCAUCCAUCGGGUUCUCUAUUGAGUUGUAUAUCAUCCAAUCCCAACAGUCAUGGGUUGACUGGAACCAAAAGUAAUGAAUGAGGAAUUCCAAGAUGGUAGCUCACACCUGUAAUCCUAGCCCUCAGGAGGGAGAGCAGGAGAUUUGCUACAAGUUCUAGGUCUGUCUGGGCCUCGCAAUGAGACUGUUUCAAACAAAAUGAUACUUUUAGCCCACUUUUGGCCCAUCCAACCGUAGUUGACUUUUCCAGGGAACAGGGAAGUGGUUGUGGUAAUAACUAGUAAAUAUCACAGUAAAGGCACAUGAGCAGGUGGCAUUGAGCAACCAAAAUCGACACUUGGAAUUCCAUCUCAGCUCUCAUUCUUAAGCAGUAGGAGCCUCUUACCCUAGAGCAAGAAUUAUAGCUUUGUACCGUUUGAGUAAUGUCAAGUAUUUGGUCAGUCAUUGCUCAGUACAUUAAUUACGUGAAAUGAUGCUUUUCACUAAUAGAUGCAAUCAUCGCUUUCCACAUCACAAAGCAGAAUCUAAGUUGAUUGCCAAACCAUACAAUCCAGAAGCUCUGAGGCUCUCCUGGGCCUGCUGUUGAAUUUCUAAGGAGUUUGCCUUGGAAGAAUCAGACAGCAGGAUGGACUUGGGAGGACACCUAGUGGCAGAGAGAACAAGAGGAAGGACCCUCAACAAGAAGCUGUCCCAAAGAAGUGUGGAAUGCCUCAGCCACCCAGGCCUGUCUUCACAGAGUGCAUAGAAAGGAUGUGAAGACACUCGUGAACCAUGAAGUGCUACACACAUGUUUCUGGCUUUCUGGAAAGAGUGAGGGCUUUAGCAUCAGUUGGGCCUGAAGCAAGGGAACAUCGCGCCUGUGAGACUUCAGGAGACACCAUGCAUAUUGAUAAUGCUGAACUCUGGCUUCCUCUAGCUUCCUGGACAACUCCAGACAAGUUGCUUGGUUUUACUGUUGCAAAUAG